UACGUAGGGUGCUAGCGUUGUUCGGAAUCAUUGGGCGUAAAGCGCGUGUAGGUGGUUAGGUAAGUCGAAUGUGAAAUCCCUCGGCCCAACCGAGGAAGUGCAUCCGAAACUACCUAGCUAGAGGACGGUAGAGGAAGGUGGAAUUCCUAGUGUAGAGGUGAAAUUCGUAGAUAUUAGGAGGAAUACCGGUGGCGAAGGCGGCCUUCUGGGCCGUUCCUGACACUGAGACGCGAAAGAGUGGGGAGCAAACAGG
rnacentral:rRNA from 1 species